UACGUAGGGUGCGAGCGUUAAUCGGAAUUACUGGGCGUAAAGCGUGCGCAGGCGGCCGCGCAAGUCGAGUGUGAAAUCCCCGAGCUUAACUUGGGAAUUGCGCUCGAAACUACGUGGCUGGAGUGUGGCAGAGGAAGGUGGAAUUCCACGUGUAGCGGUGAAAUGCGUAGAUAUGUGGAGGAACACCGAUGGCGAAGGCAGCCUUCUGGGCCAGCACUGACGCUCAUGCACGAAAGCGUGGGGAGCAAACAGG
rnacentral:rRNA from 1 species